GGGAGGGCUGUGCUUCCUGGUUCUUCUGGCUUGCGCCCGAAGUCCUACAAAGCGUGAGGGCUUCACCUCGGGACUCUGGCGACCCCAACAGGUUCCCAGUGUUCGGCUGGGGCAGGACAAGUGGUGGUGGGCAGCUUCCCUUCCAUCCCUCUUGGGCUGUAUGGGAUUUGUGCUUCUGAUGGAGUUUUGCUUUUGUUGCCCAGGAUGGAGUGCGAUGGCAUGAUCUCCACUCACUGCAAAUUCGGCCUCCCAGGUUCAAGCGAUUCUCCUGCCUCAGCCUCCCAAGUAGCUGGAAUUACAGGUGCCUGCCACCAUGCCCGGCUAAUUUUUAUAUUUUUAAUAGAGAUGGGGUUUCACCAUGUUGGCUAGGCUGGUCUCAAACUCCUGACCUCGUGAUCUGCCCGCCUCGGCCUCCCAGAGUGUUGGGAUUACAGGUGUUAGCCACCACGCCUGGCCACUUCUAUUUCUUAAAGAUUGCCUGGGGUUUUCCAAAUCUUAAAUGUCCAUAUACUUUUAAAAAUAAUUAUCAGCUUGUCAAUUUUUGGAAAUUUUUUUUUACAUGGUGGAAUUUUAAAUAAGAUUGCUAUGAUCAUUCUGGGAGAAUUAAAAAUAAAGCCUCUUAAUAAUGUCUUCCAUUCCAUGGAAAUAAUAUUUUUUCUCCAUUUACUGUAGUCUUGAAUUUCUCUCAGUGAUGUUUUAUAAUUUUUAUGUAGUGCUGUAGCACAUCAUUGGAUUUAUUCCUAAAUAUUUUAUGUUUUUGGUACUGUUAUUAAUGACAUUUGAAAUUUUAUUUUUUUCAGUGUCACAUCUACUCUUUUUUUUAUUAUUAUACUUUAAGUUUUAGGGUACAUGUGCACAAUGUGCAGGUUUGUUACAUAUGUAUACAUGUGACAUGUUGGUGUGCUGCACUAGAAAUACCAUUUGACCCAGCCAUCCCAUUACUGGGUAUAUACCCAAAGGAUUAUAAAACAU
rnacentral:lncRNA from 1 species